AAUUAGGGUUCGAUUCCGGAGAGGGAGCCUGAGAAACGGCUACCACAUCCAAGGAAGGCAGCAGGCGCGCAAAUUACCCAAUCCCGACACGGGGAGGUAGUGACAAUAAAUAACAAUACAGGGCUCUUUUGGGUCUUGUAAUUGGAAUGAGUACAAUUUAAAUCCCUUAACGAGGAACAAUUGGAGGGCAAGUCUGGUGCCAGCAGCCGCGGUAAUUCCAGCUCCAAUAGCGUAUAUUAAAGUUGUUGCAGUUAAAAAGCUCGUAGUUGAAUUUCGGGGUUCUACCGUUGGUCGGGCUUUGUCUGUACUGGCGUGUAGAAUUUCUACCUUCUGGGGAACCAUCAUGUUAUUAAUUUAACGUGGUGGGAAACCAGGACCUUUACCUUGAAAAAAUUAGAGUGUUCAAAGCAGGCUUAUGUCUGAAUACAUUAGCAUGGAAUAAUAGAAUAGGACGGUGGUCCUGUUUUGUUGGUUUCUGAAUCACCGUAAUGAUUAAUAGGGAUAGUUGGGGGCAUUAGUAUUCAAUUGUCAGAGGUGAAAUUCUUGGAUUUAUUGAAGACUAACUUCUGCGAAAGCAUUUGCCAAGGAUGUUUUCAUUAAUCAAGAACGAAAGUUAGGGGAUCGAAGACGAUCAGAUACCGUCGUAGUCUUAACCAUAAACUAUGCCGACUAGGGAUCGGACGAUGUUAAUUUUUCUUGACUCGUUCGGCGCCUUACGGGAAACAAGG
rnacentral:rRNA from 1 species